AUUGAACGCUGGCGGCAGGCCUAACACAUGCAGGUCGAACGGUAACAGGAAGCAGCUUGCUGCUUUGCUGACGAGUGGCGGACGGGUGAGUAAUGUCUGGGAAACUGCCUGAUGGAGGGGGAUAACUACUGGAAACGGUAGCUAAUACCGCAUAACGUCGCAAGACCAAAGAGGGGGACCUUCGGGCCUCUUGCCAUCGGAUGUGCCCAGAUGGGAUUAGCUAGUAGGUGGGGUAACGGCUCACCUAGGCGACGAUCCCUAGCUGGUCUGAGAGGAUGACCAGCCACACUGGAACUGAGACACGGUCCAGACUCCUACGGGAGGCAGCAGUGGGGAAUAUUGCACGAUGGGCGCAAGCCUGAUGCAGCCAUGCCGCGUGUAUGAAGAAGGCCUUCGGGUUGUAAAGUACUUUCAGCGGGGAGGAAGGGAGUAAAGUUAAUACCUUUGCUCAUUGACGUUACCCGCAGAAGAAGCACCGGCUAACUCCGUG
rnacentral:rRNA from 1 species